CAGACCAAAGCAAACACUGCCCCAGAAAAAUGUUGCAAUUCAACCCAGUUUUGAGGGAAGUGUCUCUGAUAACUUCUCAGCUCCAAAGAGAAGCAGUGGAGGCUGGGGCCACCGAGUCUCCAUGGAAAUCACGGAGGGUCUCAUCAGGUCCAGCCCGAAGGAGAGGAGCGGGUUUGAGCUGUGUUUGCACCGUCUGGCCAGGAAGAGAGGACUCAUCUCUGCCACAAAGGUCUCGGUGUGGUUUGUGCUGAAGUGAGAUCCCACAUCUGGGAUCUACCCAAGAGCUACAUCAUACUCUCUUAGAGAUAGGAAAGCUUCAUAAAGGGAAGACUUUG